rnacentral:rRNA from 1 species
UUGGAGGGCAAGUCUGGUGCCAGCAGCCGCGGUAAUUCCAGCUCCAAUAGCGUAUAUUAAAGUUGUUGCAGUUAAAAAGCUCGUAGUUGAAUUUCGGGAUCAGUACGCUGGUCGUGCCUUCGGUAUGCACUGGUUUCACUGAUUCCUCCCUUCUGAAGAACCGUAAUGCCAUUCAGUUGGUGUGGCGGGGAAUCAGGAUUGUUACUUUGAAAAAAUUAGAGUGUUUAAAGCAGGCUCGCGCUUGAAUACAUUAGCAUGGAAUAAUGAAAUAGGACGUUUGAUCCUAUUUUGUUGGUUUCUAGGAUUGACGUAAUGAUUAAUAGGGAUAGUUGGGGGCAUUAGUAUUCAAUUGUCAGAGGUGAAAUUCUUGGAUUUAUUGAAGACUAACUACUGCGAAAGCAUUUGCCAAGGAUGUUUUCAUUAAUCAAGAACGAAAGUUAGGGGAUCGAAGACGAUCAGAUACCGUCGUAGUCUUAACCAUAAACUAUGCCGACUAGGGAUCGGAUGAUGUUAAUUUUUUAAUGACUCAUUCGGCGCCUUACGGGAAACCAAAGUGUUUGGGUUC